rnacentral:rRNA from 1 species
CAAUAGCGUAUAUUAAAGUUGUUGCAGUUAAAAAGCUCGUAGUUGGAUUUCUGGCAGGAGCGACCGGUCACACACUCUGUGUGUGAACUUGCGUUGUCUCUGGCCAUCCUUGGGAAGAUCCUGUUUGGCAUUAAGUUGUCGGGCAGGGGAUACCCAUCGUUUACUGUGAAAAAAUUAGAGUGUUUAAAGCAGGCUUAUGCCGUUGAAUAUAUUAGCAUGGAAUAAUAAGAUAGGACUUCGGAACUAUUUUGUUGGUUUGCGUUACGAAGUAAUGAUUAAUAGGGACGGUUGGGGGUAUUCGUAUUCCAUUGUCAGAGGUGAAAUUCUUGGAUUUUUGGAAGACGAACUACUGCGAAAGCAUUUACCAAGGAUGUUUUCAUUGA